rnacentral:misc_RNA from 1 species
GCCGGCGUUUUGCUCGAGCAUCCGAUUCCGCUGAGCUUCGCGACGCGAUACGGUUCAACGCCGUAUUCAUAAAACGCCUUGAUGAUCUGCGACGUCACG